rnacentral:rRNA from 1 species
GCACAAGCGGAGGAGCAUGUGGUUUAAUUCGAUGAUACGCGAGGAACCUUACCAAGGCUUAAAUGGGAAACGACAGGUUUGGAAACAGACUUUUCUUCGGACGUUUUCAAGGUGCUGCAUGGUUGUCGUCAGCUCGUGCCGUGAGGUGUCAGGUUAAGUCCUAUAACGAGCGCAACCCCUGUUGUUAGUUGCCAGCGAGUCAAGUCGGGAACUCUAGCAAGACUGCCAGUGCAAACUGUGAGGAAGGUGGGGAUGACGUCAAAUCAUCACGGCCCUUACGCCUUGGGCUACACACGUGCUACAAUGGACGGUACAGAGAGCAGCCACUACGCAAGUAGGCGCGAAUCUUCAAAGCCGUUCUCAGUUCGGAUCGGAGUCUGCAACUCGACUCCGUGAAGCUGGAUUCGCUAGUAAUCGCAGAUCAGCCAUGCUGCGGUGAAUACGUUCCCGGGCCUU